ACCGGCAGCCAUAUCACCCUGUAGCCCAAGACUGGUUGCCCACUGAAGCUAAGCAGGGCUGAGCCUGGUCAGUACCUGGAUGGGAGACCUCCUGGGAAAACGAGGUUGCUGCUGGAA
ensembl:rRNA 5S_rRNA 5S ribosomal RNA